GGGAAGUAGCUCAGCUUGGUAGAGCACAUGGUUUGGGACCAUGGGGUCGCAGGUUCGAAUCCUGUCUUCCC
rnacentral:tRNA from 1 species